CUGCCCGCAGCUGAUUGCAAACACUAAUGAACUUACUGCGCCAUUUGAAAUUCACACGCACCAACAAAGUGCGGGGGGUGGGCAUUGCAGGUCAGCUGAGUCACCCGAGGAGGUGGGAGUGCAAGACACUGCCGGGAAGACGGAUUCUGAGGCAGAAGGGUGUAAUUAAGGAUUUCCACUCCCGAUUAGCAGCCGAACACGUCCCUGCCUCGAUUUUGUUUGCUGUGGGAGGCGAAAAAAAAGUUUGCUGCUCCUCACAAGACACUGCCACUUUCUACUCACUGAAGUUCCCACCGCAGCGCUGGCUCCCGGCUCCCUAGCCCCCGCCCCCUGUCUGCAGGAAAGCCCUCCCCCGGAGCUUCCGAAACUGCUGGAGGUUCCAGAGUUUUGUAGCUCCGAAUGGGCGACCUGAGCAGAACCGCUCUCUGGCUGGACGGUCGGCGGGAUCUUUCAGGCUCCUUUCGGGUCCGGGACGGGGCGGCGGCAGAGAUGGGGCGUGCGUGCUUGGGCUGCCGAGUGAGUGCGGCUCCCUCGUGCGCGCCCGAGCAUCUCCCCGCCCUCCCCUGGGACCAGCAGUCCGCCCGUGGAGGGCUGGGAGCCCGCGACCAGGCCUGCCCCGGCCGUCGCCGACCCGUCCUUGGAAGCGUGGCGGAGACUGGUGCGCUCUCAGCCUCCUCGCGCCACCCUCCACUUUCAGCUUCAGAGCAGAGGAUUCUGCCGACCUGUACCCGUACCUGUACUCGGCCGUUAGGAAAUCCACGUGCAUUUUUAACUACCGUGCAGAACCAGAAACUGAUCGAGCACUGGGAGAACAAGGACGACGCUUCCUAGGAAAGCCUGAACCUUUAUGUUAGUUUAUCCAAAGUUUGGGCUAGAAGUGAGGAGAAUCCCUAAACUCGAACUAGUGUGCCCAGACCCACAGCC
rnacentral:antisense_RNA from 1 species